rnacentral:rRNA from 1 species
GACGAACGCUGGCGGCGUGCUUAACACAUGCAAGUCGAACGGAAAGGCCCUGCUUUUGUGGGGUGCUCGAGUGGCGAACGGGUGAGUAACACGUGAGUAACCUGCCCUUGACUUUGGGAUAACUUCAGGAAACUGGGGCUAAUACCGGAUAGGAGCUCCUGCUGCAUGGUGGGGGUUGGAAAGUUUCGGCGGUUGGGGAUGGACUCGCGGCUUAUCAGCUUGCUGGUGGGGUAGUGGCUUACCAAGGCUUUGACGGGUAGCCGGCCUGAGAGGGUGACCGGCCACAUUGGGACUGAGAUACGGCACAGACUCCUACGGGAGGCAGCAGUGGGGAAUAUUGCACAAUGGGCGGAAGCCUGAUGCAGCAACGCCGCGUGCGGGAUGACGGCCUUCGGGUUGUAAACCGCUUUCGCCUGUGACGAAGCGUGAGUGACGGUAACGGGUAAAGAAGCACCGGCUAACUACGUG